AAUAAAUUAUUCUCCAUCCUACCUCUGGUUAGUCUUCAUACAUCUUCUAACGUAGGUAAUUAUAUGUAAAUAUGCUCCGGCUAGCUGUCAAUCAGUAGUCCUCUUGUUGUGGUCACUCAAGGAAAAGGACAAAUACGUUAAUCUUGACUGAAAUGGCGUAAAUAGUGGUUGAGGCGAAACAACCCUGUAAAGUAAAUGGUUAAAAAGCAUUCAUGAGCAAAACGCACCUCACCUUGAUACGAAGUAUUCAUCUUUAUUUGUAAAUGAACCAAACGCAAUAUACAAUGAAUCACCGUCGGGUACUAAAAGAAAAUUUAUUUUAUUUUAAUAAACACCCUGUAUAAUAAAAACUAAGCGAUCUACAAUACGUUAACAAAUUAAGAAUUUUCAGGUGCAGGUCUAAUUUCUACUACCACCCGGCACCCACAAACACCAACGUGAUUCAAAAUUGGGAGUAGCACGGCCCGAUGAUGAGUUAUAAACACGAAAUCGAUAGCCUACAGAAAGAUUUAAAAAAAAUUUAGUUUUUUUUUUUAUAAUAAGCAAUCUCUGUGUUAUGUAGAAUUAAACAGCGCGUGAGCAUAAAAUUCUCUUCAAUACGUUAUAAUAAAGAGAAUACGGUAGCACAAUUGUUCAAAAAUACCUUUAAUGAUUGUGCACCAGGAGUUCUAGGGGCGUUCUGCUCACGGCUUUUAAUCAGAAUGAAAAUGGUCCUCCUUUCAGCUGUACUCUGCAGUCUACGGACCGUCUAUAUAACCCUAGGGCGCAUCGGAAUCCUUCAACGCGCGACUCGGCCAUGCUCGACACGAGUAGCAUGGAAUUCACCACUACUAGCGGCAGUGCAUCUCCAGAUACAAGUGCGCUGCAUGGUACCACCGCUGCCACCAGCUCAACCUCAAACCCAACAACGAUUCCGGCCACGGUGGCUUAAACCAUUGAUCACCUGUCCGCCACACUAUAAGUACUAAAGGGCACCACCACCGGCCUUCCUGUUUUCUUCGGGAGACCCACUCGAAGAUCCCUCUACUUUCUUCGACGACCAGGAGAAAUACUUCGCCAAAAAUCCCGUUGCCAGCGAAACUCAACGCACCCUGGCUGGGCAGCAACUGCAGAAGGCGGUCGCCGGCUGGUGGAGGCCGCGCACAUACCUCCCCAUGACGAACCCCGAGGUGCGCAGUGAGUCACGUAGCAUUACGAUAAGUCAACGAUCCAGACUGAACGCAGAGCUCGACAACCGCGACCAAAAGAACGAUUCCGAAGUGCUCUUUCUUCAGCGGAAGGCCCAGCUCACUACACCGUUGCGCAUCGAGCGGACGUACUGCACCCUAUGGUGCGGUCGUUCUUGCCCCUACGAGCCCCCCGCAGUGUGAUCGGGAUUCUGCAGUUUCUGGAGGUGGUUGAAGAAGGCACUAGGCCAGUCGGCGCCAAACCUCCAAAGAGGUAAGCUUCCUUGCCUGCCUGCCAUUACUGUCCCGAGCGUCACUUUCAUCGAAACUGUCCCAUGGCUCAAAGAUCACUCCAAGAAAAUGCUUAAGCGGCCGGGGUGCCAAGCUCUCCUCGGCAGUAAUUCACCAAAUACACGAGCCACCACAACUCGGGCUGCCAAAUAUCGCCAUGGAACUUGGGGUUGGCCACCGCCUUGCCCUGCUCGACACUGGAGUCUCUCACAACUUCAUCGAUCGUCGGCUGACCACCCACAUCAGCAAGGGUAGAAAACCAACGGGCGAUGCCCUUUGGAUUAAGUAAUGCCUCGUCCAUCGUUCAGAACCUAAUGACGCCGA